rnacentral:rRNA from 1 species
CUAAGGCUCCAGAGGAAGCCACGGCUAACUCUGUGCCAGCAGCCGCGGUAAUACAGAGGCGGCAAGCGUUGUUCGGAAUUAUUGGGCGUAAAGAGCACGUAGGCGGCCUUGCAAGUCAGUUGUGAAAGCCUUCCGCUUAACGGAAGAAUGCCAGCUGAUGCUACAGGGCUUGAGCACGGGAGGGGAGAGUGGAACUUCUGGUGGAGCGGUGAGAUGCGUAGAUAUCAGAAGGAACGCCGGCGGCGAAAGCGACUCUCUGGCCCGAAACUGACGCUGAGUGUGCGAAAGCUAGGGGAGCAAACGGGAUUAGAUACCCCGGUAGUCCUAGCCGUAAA